rnacentral:rRNA from 1 species
ACGCACGCUGGCGGCGUGCUUCACACAUGCAAGUCGCACGGAAAGGCCCUGCUUUUGUGGGGUGCUCGAGUGGCGAACGGGUGAGUAACACGUGAGUAACCUGCCCUUGACUUUGGGAUAACUUCAGGAAACUGGGGCUAAUACCGGAUAGGAGCUCCUGCUGCAUGGUGGGGGUUGGAAAGUUUCGGCGGUUGGGGAUGGACUCGCGGCUUAUCAGCUUGUUGGUGGGGUAGUGGCUUACCAAGGCUUUGACGGGUAGCCGGCCUGAGAGGGUGACCGGCCACAUUGGGACUGAGAUACGGCCCAGACGCCUACGGGAGGCAGCAGUGGGGAAUAUUGCACAAUGGGCGGAAGCCUGAUGCAGCAACGCCGCGUGCGGGAUGACGGCCUUCGGGUUGUAAACCGCUUUCGCCUGUGACGAAGCGUGAGUGACGGUAAUGGGUAAAGAAGCACCGGCUAACUACGU